GACGCAGCAACGCCGCGUGUGUGAUGAAGGUCUUUGGAUUGUAAAGCACUUUCGACCGGGACGAAAACCCUGAGGCUAACAUCCUCAGGCUUGACGGUACCGGGAGAAGAAGCACCGGCUAACUCUGUGCCAGCAGCCGCGGUAAUACAGAGGGUGCAAGCGUUGUUCGGAAUUAUUGGGCGUAAAGCGCGUGUAGGCGGCUUUGCAAGUCGGGUGUGAAAGCCCUCAGCUCAACUGAGGAAGGGCGCCCGAAACUGCAGAGCUUGAGUACCGGAGAGGGUGGCGGAAUUCCCCAAGUAGAGGUGAAAUUCGUAGAUAUGGGGAGGAACACCGGUGGCGAAGGCGGCCACCUGGACGGUCACUGACGCUGAGACGCGAAAGCGUGGGUAGCAAACAGGAUUAGAUACCCUGGUAGUCCACGCCGUAAACGAUGAGAACUAGGUGUCGUGGGAGUUGACCCCCGCGGUGCCGAAGCUAACGCAUUAAGUUCUCCGCCUGGGAAGUACGGUCGCAAGACUA
rnacentral:rRNA from 1 species